CCGCGCACAGUUGCAUGUAAAUGAAUUGUAAUCAGUAUCCGCUUUAGUCUUUUGCGGUUGAAGUUAUUUUUAAAUGUUAAAGAUUACGCAUUUUUGCAAACUUUAUCGCAUUUUGCGAAAAAAGCGAGCGUAGCUUAAACGCUGAUUACCACAGACGAUGCUGAUAAAGUUAUUUUUCAGGAGAAAAUUCUAGUAUAAAUAACAAGGAAUCUUCAUUUUUAGAAGUAGUUAAUAUCUAAACAACAAAUUGCAUUAAAUGAUAAAAAUUCUCAAUGUGGUAUGGAACAUCCGCAAAUAAAAAAAAACACAUGAUAAAAAAUUACAUACUUUAUUGCAACGUGAUGAAAAAUGUCUGGUACAAAACGCUGUUACGAGUGCCAAAAGUAUUUUUGUUUUUGUAAAAAAUCUAUUGAAAUGCAUCCUAUAAGAAGCAAUAGUGAUGAUUUGUUAUGUUAUGAAGAAUUAGCACUAUCACCACUUCCGAAAAUGGUAAAAUAUAGAAAAACAGGUAAACCAAUAUUAUCAAUUCAUGAAUAUCAGGAAAUCCAAUUACCACCAGUGUUUAAGCUGGAAUAAAAUUUUGUUUAGCAAAAAUGCUAAAAUAGCGACUCUUUUAUACUGAUUAUAAGACAUGCGCGUUAUACGCACCUAUACAGUGUGUCCCAAAUCGGGUGGGAUUGCAUGGGUAACUUUGUUAUUAUUAAAGAUAGAGAAUUGGUUAA